rnacentral:tRNA from 1 species
GCCAGUGUGGCGAAAUUGGUAGACGCAGCGGAUUCAAAAUCCGCCGGUGGCAACACUGUGCCGGUUCGAGUCCGGCCACUGGUACCA